GACGAACGCUGGCGGCGUGCUUAACACAUGCAAGUCGAACGGAAAGGCCCUGCUUGCAGGGUACUCGAGUGGCGAACGGGUGAGUAACACGUGGGUGAUCUGCCCUGCACUUCGGGAUAAGCUUGGGAAACUGGGUCUAAUACCGGAUAGGAGCCAUCUUUAGUGUGGUGGUUGGAAAGUUUUUUCGGUGUAGGAUGAGCUCGCGGCCUAUCAGCUUGUUGGUGGGGUAAUGGCCUACCAAGGCGGCGACGGGUAGCCGGCCUGAGAGGGUGUACGGCCACAUUGGGACUGAGAUACGGCCCAGACUCCUACGGGAGGCAGCAGUGGGGAAUAUUGCACAAUGGGCGCAAGCCUGAGGCAGCGACGCCGCGGGGGGGAUGAAGGCCUUCGGGGUGUAAACUCCUUUCGCUAGGGAAGAAGCUUUGUUGUGACGGUACCUAGAGAAGAAGCACCGGCUAACUACGUG
rnacentral:rRNA from 1 species